ensembl:lncRNA
CCCUGACCGGAGCUGAGCUCCCCAGCGAAGUGCGACGUGGUGGAAAAACAGACAAAACAGCCUGGAACCCAGCGACUCGCCCUGGACCCAGCGCUUUCUCUAGUUUCCCGCAUCAGUAAAAUGGGCUCUCACUUGGGCCCCGACCAGGCAUAGAAUUUCAGCCUCAGCAGUAAAAGCGCCAAGGCCUAACAACCGGCCCGCCGGGAACGCCUCACUUACACUCAGAGGCCGGAACCAGAAGGGCUGUCUUUGGAAUGGGCGGCAGUCGCUCGCUUGGAUCUGUGGGUUUGAGUCUCAAGCAGAGGCAGCAUCUUGGAAGAUAAUCUCUCCUGUGUGCAGCCAGCAGUGACACCAGGCUGGAUGCUGCCGGAGCCCAGCCUCUACCCUGGGCUGUGCUGUUCCUGGGGAGUGGACUGCACGGGCCGGCUCGCCUUCAGUGUGGGCCGAGGGCCUGCUGUGUGCGGGUCCCGCCUCAGAGCAGCACUGCCACCAGCCUGGCCGGAUAGGAUGGCACCUCCCUAUCAUGGCCUCAGAUGGGGUCUCUCCCUGGACCCCCAACUGCCAGGACCGAGGUGGGGCCACAAGCCGUGGCUUCCUCUCUUCACUCGGCAGCUCAGGCGGUAGGAGCAGCUUGUGCAAAGGCCCUGGGGUAGGAGUGCAGUCCGCUCCUCUGGGCAGAGUGGAGGAGAGGAUGGCUGCAGGCCACCUGCUCUCAGGGUGCCUGUGAGACGCGCCCCGGGGCUGCAGGCAUGACCUCUGUGACAGGCACGAGGGGAGCUACAGCUCGAGGCUCAGGCCGCUCAGCUGACAGCUCCUAAUGCGGUGGCUGGGACUCUGCGAUUCUGAAACCCACAUCCCUGAUGCCAUCCCUCACCGCCCUUCAACCCUGAGACCUGGUCCUCUUCUCAGAAUUUGCCUCAGUGGUGUCAGGCCUGGGCUCUGGGCAGCCCUCCUGGACCCCAGGCAUCCUCACUGCAAAACAGAGGGAUGGGUGUGGGCUCCGUGAACGAGCCUGUGGACAUACUCCACAGACACACGCCGCGGACAUGGCCCUUGACUGCACAGCACACGCAGGCACCGUGGCUCUGCACCCACGGGCGUUCAGGCUGGGACCCUGAUGGACAUUUCUAAAAUUCCAAUUGCUGCCCAUUUAUCUCAGUGCAUAUGAGAAAUAACGUACCUGUGUGUGUAACUAGCAACUCAAUCCAUGCUUUCAGUAAUAAAUGAUAGUUUCCUUUUCAAAAUGAUCAUUUCAGUUUAAAAUAGGUGCUUAUUUAAAGAGACAUUUAAUCAGGCAUUACACGUGCCUGUGUGUGUGGUCAGUCGCUCUCUGCUAAGUCGCUUCAGUCGUGUCUGACUCUGUGUGACCCCAUAGACGGCAGCCCACCAGGCUCCCCCGUCCCUGGGAUUCUCCAGGCGAG